GACGAACGCUGGCGGCGUGCCUAACACAUGCAAGUCGAACGGAGUUGAAAGGAGCUUGCUUUUUUCAACUCAGUGGCGGACGGGUGAGUAACGCGUGAGUAACCUGCCUUUCAGAGGGGGAUAACGUUCUGAAAAGAACGCUAAUACCGCAUAAGAUUGUAGCUUCGCAUGGAGUAGCAAUCAAAGGAGCAAUCCGCUGAAAGAUGGACUCGCGUCCGAUUAGAUAGUUGGCGGGGUAACGGCCCACCAAGUCGACGAUCGGUAGCCGGACUGAGAGGUUGAUCGGCCACAUUGGGACUGAGACACGGCCCAGACUCCUACGGGAGGCAGCAGUGAGGGAUAUUGGGCAAUGGGGGAAACCCUGACCCAGCAACGCCGCGUGAGGGAUGACGGUUUUCGGAUUGUAAACCUCUGUCCUCUGUGAAGAUAGUGACGGUAGCAGAGGAGGAAGCUCCGGCUAACUACGUGCCAGCAGCCGCGGUAAUACGUAGGGAGCAAGCGUUGUCCGGAUUUACUGGGUGUAAAGGGUGCGUAGGCGGACUCUGCCAAGUCAGAAGUGAAAUCCAUGGGCUUAACCCAUGAACUGCUUUUGAAACUGUUAGUCUUGAGUGAAGUAGAGGUAGGCGGAAUUCCCGGUGUAGCGGUGAAAUGCGUAGAGAUCGGGAGGAACACCAGUGGCGAAGGCGGCCUACUGGGCUUUAACUGACGCUGAGGCACGAAAGUGUGGGUAGCAAACAGGAUUAGAUACCCUGGUAGUCCACACUGUAAACGAUG
rnacentral:rRNA from 1 species